AGCGAACGCUGGCGGCAGGCUUAACACAUGCAAGUCGAACGCCCCGCAAGGGGAGUGGCAGACGGGUGAGUAACACGUGGGAACGUACCCUUUGGUUCGGAAUAACUUGGGGAAACUCAAGCUAAUACCGGAUAAGCCCUUAUGGGUAAAGGUUUACUGCCGGAGGACCGGCCCGCGUCUGAUUAGCUAGUUGGUGAGGUAAUGGCUCACCAAGGCGACGAUCAGUAGCUGGUCUGAGAGGAUGAUCAGCCACACUGGGACUGAGACACGGCCCAGACUCCUACGGGAGGCAGCAGUGGGGAAUAUUGGACAAUGGGGGCAACCCUGAUCCAGCCAUGCCGCGUGAGUGAUGAAGGCCUUAGGGUUGUAAAGCUCUUUUACCCGGGACGAUAAUGACUGUACCGGGGGAAUAAGCCCCGGCUAACUUCGUGCCAGCCGCCGCAGUAA
rnacentral:rRNA from 1 species